AUUGAACGCUGGCGGCAGGCCUAACACAUGCAAGUCGAACGCGUGGCGGACGGGUGUGUAUUGUCUGUGAAACUGUCUGCUGGGGAGGGAUAACUCCUGUAAACGGUAGCUAAAACACCGCACCCUCAGAUGUGCCCCGAUGGGAUUAGCUAGUAGGUGGGGUAACGGCUCACCUAGGCGACGAUCCCUAGCUGGUCUGAGAGGAUGACCAGCCACACUGGAACUGAGACACGGUCCAGACUCCUACGGGAGGCAGCAGUGGGGAAUAUUGCACAAUGGGCGCAAGCCUGAUGCAGCCAUGCCGCGUGUAUGAAGAAGGCCUUCGGGUUGUAAAGUACUUUCAGCGGGGAGGCGUUACCCGCAGAAGAAGCACCGGCUAACUCCGUGCCAGCAGCCGCGGUAAUUC
rnacentral:rRNA from 1 species